rnacentral:rRNA from 1 species
GACGAACCGUGCAAACGUUGUUCGGAUUCACUGGGCUUAAAGGGCGCGUAGGCGGGCGGUCAAGUCGGGGGUGAAAUCUUUCAGCUUAACUGGAAAAGUGCCUCCGAUACUGAUCGUCUUGAGGGAGGUAGGGGCAUGUGGAACUUCCGGUGGAGCGGUGAAAUGCGUAGAUAUCGGAAGGAACGCCGGUGGCGAAAGCGACGUGCUGGACCUCUUCUGACGCUGAGGCGCGAAAGCUAGGGGAGCGAACGGG